AGACUUACCUGGCAGGAAAGAUACCAUGAUCAAGAAGGUGGUUCACCCAGGGCGAGGCUCGACCAUUGCACUCCGGGUGUGCUGACCCCUGUGAGUUCCCCAAAGUUCGGAAUCUCGGGUGCAUAAUUUCCGGUAGUGGGGGACUAAGUUCACGCUUUCCCCUG